CAAUAGCGUAUAUUAAAGUUGUUGCGGUUAAAAAGCUCGUAGUUGGAUUUCUGUUGGGAACGACCGGUCCGCCCAUUGGGUGUGCAUCUGGCUUGUUCUCGGCAUCUUCUUGGUGAACGUUGCUGCACUUGACUGUGUGGAGCGCUACCCAGGACUUUUACUUUGAGGAAAUUAGAGUGUUUAAAGCAGGCUUAUGCCGUUGAAUACAUUAGCAUGGAAUAAUAAGAUAGGACUUUGGCGUCUAUUUUGUUGGUUUGCACACCAAGGUAAUGAUUAAUAGGGAUAGUUGGGGGUAUUCGUAUUUAAUUGUCAGAGGUGAAAUUCUUGGAUUUAUGAAAGACGAACUUCUGCGAAAGCAUUUACCAAAGAUGUUUUCAUUAAUCAAGAACGAAAGUUAGGGGAUCGAAGACGAUCAGAUACCAU
rnacentral:rRNA from 1 species